UGUCCCGUUGUGUAAUGGUAGCACUGCAGAUUUUGGUUCUGCCUGAACAGGUUCGAGUCCUGUCGGGACAAC
rnacentral:tRNA from 1 species